rnacentral:rRNA from 1 species
AUGGGUCGCAGCAAGGGCACCAUGGAAGAAUCUGAUAUUCAGGAUCUCCUAGCUAUGAGAUCCGAGGUCCUUGACAAUCAGAAGGAGACUGAAUCCCUUCGAUCUGACAUGACAGUACUCCAAACUGAGGUACGUACCAUUGGGCAGAAGCAAGAUCUCAUGUCAGUAGCAGUGGAGGAUGUUCAAAAAUCUGUUUCAGAGAUAGGAUUACAGUUAUCAGCGAUGACUGAAGUCUUGAAAUCACUUAGACCAGAUCCACCUGGCAGAAACAGAGAGAAAACAACUGAUACAGGCACUAGUGCACCAGUAAAAUCUCCUACCUUGCUGGAACAAGAGAAUCGUAAUGCUUUGCUUCGAGCACAACUGGAAAAAGAAAAAGAACAAACCAGACGUUGUGAGGAGGUGUUUAUGCAGAGGCUACCCCCAUUAAAUGUCACCAAGCCUCCUGGUUUCGACAAGCAGAGAGAUCAAGAUCAAGUGACAGAAGGUCCAACUCCUUCUGCAGGUACUUCCAGGCAUGUCCACACUCCUGUGUUUAACCAACAUAUUAACAACCGUGAGAGUCAGUUGUGGCAAGGUUAUUACAGAACCUCAGGAAAUGAAAGCACAGUUCAUGAAAUCAAUGACGAAGGGACCUAG